rnacentral:rRNA from 1 species
AUUGAACGCUGGCGGCAUGCCUUACACAUGCAAGUCGAACGGCAGCACGGGCUUCGGUCUGGUGGCGAGUGGCGAACGGGUGAGUAAUGUAUCGGAACGUACCUUUCAGUGGGGGGAUAACGUAGCGAAAGUUACGCUAAUACCGCAUAUUCUGUGAGCAGGAAAGCAGGGGAUCGCAAGACCUUGCGCUGAUUGAGCGGCCGAUAUCAGAUUAGCUAGUUGGUGAGGUAAAGGCUCACCAAGGCGACGAUCUGUAGCGGGUCUGAGAGGAUGAUCCGCCACACUGGAACUGAGACACGGUCCAGACUCCUACGGGAGGCAGCAGUGGGGAAUUUUGGACAAUGGGGGCAACCCUGAUCCAGCCAUGCCGCGUGAGUGAAGAAGGCCU